rnacentral:misc_RNA from 1 species
UCUCAAGUUCAAAAACUUCAACAACAGUUGGAGGGAAAGCUUCUCUUCAGCCUAAACGGACACCUCUCUCCAAUGAGGAGAUUGAGGCAAUCUUGUUGGGAGGCUGCAUCUGAUCUUUUCAUGGAACUUCAGUAAGAGAGUUGGCAUUCUUUUCAUGAUUCUUAAUUUGAAAGUGAAACAUUAGAAGUUUUCUAAUUCAUUGGCUUUUGUCGGAACUUGCUGAGGGAUAAAUUCAUAAAUCCUCAACGUUAGACAACAAAAAGAUAAUGAGAAAUUAACUUACGUUGGGCAU